GUAGGUGGCAAGCGUUGUCCGGAAUUAUUGGGCGUAAAGCGCGCGCAGGCGGUCCUUUAAGUCUGAUGUGAAAGCCCACGGCUCAACCGUGGAGGGUCAUUGGAAACUGAGGGACUUGAGUACAGAAGAGGAAAGCGGAAUUCCACGUGUAGCGGUGAAAUGCGUAGAGAUGUGGAGGAACACCAGUGGCGAAGGCGGCUUUCUGGUCUGUAACUGACGCUGAGGCGCGAAAGCGUGGGGAGCAAACAGGGAUUAGAUACCCUGGUAGUCCACGCCGUAAACGAUGAGUGCUAAGUGUUAGGGGGGUUUCCGCCCCCUUAGUGCUGCAGCUAACGCAUUAAGCACUCCGCCUGGGGAUACGACCGCAAGGUUG
rnacentral:rRNA from 1 species